CAAAGAUUAAGCCAUUGCAUGU
rnacentral:misc_RNA from 1 species